AGCCGGGGAUGAUCCGAUCCUUUCUGACACCUCGUCUGAGGGCGGCGGGCGGCCGCGGCCCCUGCUGACGCAUCGCGGCUGAGGCUC
ensembl:snoRNA